rnacentral:rRNA from 1 species
CACGUAGGGUGCGAGCGUUGUCCGGAAUUAUUGGGCGUAAAGAGCUCGUAGGCGGUGUGUCGCGUCGGCCGUGAAAACUUGGGGCUUAACUCUGAGCGUGCGGUCGAUACGGGCAUCACUUGAGUUCGGCAGGGGAGACUGGAAUUCCUGGUGUAGCGGUGAAAUGCGCAGAUAUCAGGAGGAACACCGAUGGCGAAGGCAGGUCACUGGGCCGCAACUGACGCUGAGGAGCGAAAGCAUGGGGAGCGAACAGG